rnacentral:lncRNA from 1 species
UGAUCUUUGCAAAUGCUUCUAAAAAAGCUUCAAAAUUACUCAAUAUUGGAGAUCUUUUCUCAAAUAAAGGAGUAAAUCAAGAUAAGAUUUGUCAUAUGAGCAAGGUUCUAACUAAACCAAUUUGUGACUACUCUAUUAGAUAGCAUCCAUAUUGUAGAAAAAUUAUUAAUUGAAUUUGAUUAACAAACCUUCAAAACUUUGAGUGCAUGCUAUUAAAUGUUUUUGAAAGACUAAUCCAAGGCUCCUUAUAUAAUUGAAUAGGUAAUUUUUUUUUGUUGAGGUACAUGUAUCAAUGCCUCCUUGGAUGUAAAAGCUUAAGAAAGUAGUUGCACCAUAGGCUAA